rnacentral:lncRNA from 1 species
AUGAGGGGACCACGGGGAGCCCCUCCCCCCGAGACCCGAGCCGCGCCCGGAAGGCGCCGGGGAGCCGGGGAGCCGGGGAGCCACCGCCGGGGGGAGCGCAGCCGAGACCCCCAGGAGGGGCGGGCUCCGAGGAGGGCCGCGGGGAUGCGCACGCGGAGGACGCGCCCCCCCGCCCCCGCCGGGCCGACCAGCCUUCCCGCCGCCUCCCGCCCCCCGCGGCCCGCGGCCUGCGGAGCCCCCCCACCCCGGAGAGAGGUCCCCGCCCGGUGCCGGGGAGCCAGGGAGCCAGGGCGCGGCGGGGCGGAGCGGGCCGGGCCGGGGGCGGGGGACCCCGAGCUUCCCAAGUGGCCGCGGCGCUGGGGCGGCCGAGGGGCAGGCGGGGCGGGCCCAGGGUGCUCCCCCCGGGUCCCCCGGCCGGGCCCGCGCGCCCUCGCUCCCCCCGGGCCCCCCCGGCCGGGCCCGCGCGCCCUCGCCGCGACCCCAGCGCCCCGGACCCCGGGCCGCGCCGCCGCAUCCCCAGCCCCCCCCCCGCCCCCGCCGGGCCCGGCCCGCGCGUCCCCGCCGCAUCCCCCGCCCCCGCCCUCGCCCUCGCCCGCGCCCGCGAUGCCGACACAAAGCGACGCGCGUCACCCACCUGCCUGGUCCCGCGCGGCGGGGGCUCGGGGGCUCGGGGGCUCGGGGGCUCGGGGGCUCCGAGCGCCGCGCCCAGGCCGGGUGUCCGGGGCGUCCGGCGCGGCUGCGGGGUGCCUGUCGGGUGCCCGGCCCGCGCCCGCCGGAGCCGCCCUUUAUGCCCUGCCCGCCCUCCAGCGGGGCGCACCGCGGGCGGGGGGAGAGUGGGCGGCGGCGAGCGGCACAAAGACGCGGGCGCCCAGGCCCGGCCCGGCCCCCGCCCCUGCCCGCCCGCCGGCCGCCCGCCGCCCGCCGCGCAGCGCCCCCUGCCGCCCUCCGCCCGCCGCGCGCCCGGACCCCGCCCCCCGCCCCCCGCCCGCCCGGGGCGGCGCCUCUGCCCGCGGGGUCCUUCCCGGGAGGGGAGGGGAGGGGAGCGGGCGCCCCCCCGCCCCGGAGCCGGGCCCGGAGAGCGCGGGGCUGGGCAGCCCGGGCCGCCCCAGACCGGCCCCGAGCUGCAGCAGCGAUCCCCGGUCCCUGCGGCCUCAGGACCCGGCUGUCAAGAUGCCAGGGCGUCGCGGAAACGUCCUUCCAUCCCCCUACCUGGUGGCAUGGAUGGAUGGAUGGAUGGAUGGAUGGAUGGAUGGAUGGAUGGAGAGCCCACCUGGACGGCGUCAGGAUACCCGAGAUCCAGACAAUUAUACAAGAUUCUCAACUACCACGAGGUUGUGUAUGAUUUAUCUUCCCCUGCUACCUAUGCAUCUUUUUUAAAAGCAUAAAUCUCUCUCAUCUACACUGAAAAGUCAUUCUG